rnacentral:misc_RNA from 1 species
CUCCCUCUAUCUACUUUUGAGUGAUUUAUCUUUGUUCAUUAAAACGCAGAAUAAAAACGAUUGUUCAUUGACAAGUGCAUAGGUUA